UACGAAGGGGGCUAGCGUUGCUCGGAAUCACUGGGCGUAAAGCGCACGUAGGCGGAUCUUUAAGUCAGGGGUGAAAUCCUGGAGCUCAACUCCAGAACUGCCUUUGAUACAGCACAUCUUGAGUCCGGAAGAGGUGGGUGGAAUUCCUAGUGUAGAGGUGAAAUUCGUAGAUAUUAGGAAGAACACCGGUGGCGAAGGCGGCCCACUGGUCCGGUACUGACGCUGAGGUGCGAAAGCGUGGGGAGCAAACAGG
rnacentral:rRNA from 1 species